rnacentral:rRNA from 1 species
GAUGAACGCUGGCGGCGUGCCUAAUACAUGCAAGUCGAGCGAACGGACGAGAAGCUUGCUUCUCUGAUGUUAGCGGCGGACGGGUGAGUAACACGUGGAUAACCUACCUAUAAGACUGGGAUAACUUCGGGAAACCGGAGCUAAUACCGGAUGAUAUUUUGAACCGCAUGGUUCAAAAGUGAAAGACGGUCUUGCUGUCACUUAUAGAUGGAUCCGCGCUGCAUUAGCUAGUUGGUAAGGUAACGGCUUACCAAGGCAACGAUGCAUAGCCGACCUGAGAGGGUGAUCGGCCACACUGGAACUGAGACACGGUCCAGACUCCUACGGGAGGCAGCAGUAGGGAAUCUUCCGCAAUGGGCGAAAGCCUGACGGAGCAACGCCGCGUGAGUGAUGAAGGUCUUCGGAUCGUAAAACUCUGUUAUUAGGGAAGAACAUAUGUGUAAGUAACUGUGCACAUCUUGACGGUACCUAAUCAGAAAGCCACGGCUAACUACGUGCCAGCAGCCGCGGUAAUACGUAGGUGGCAAGCGUUAUCCGGAAUUAUUGGGCGUAAAGCGCGCGUAGGCGGUUUUUUAAGUCUGAUGUGAAAGCCCACGGCUCAACCGUGGAGGGUCAUUGGAAACUGGAAAACUUGAGUGCAGAAGAGGAAAGUGGAAUUCCAUGUGUAGCGGUGAAAUGCGCAGAGAUAUGGAGGAACACCAGUGGCGAAGGCGACUUUCUGGUCUGUAACUGACGCUGAUGUGCGAAAGCGUGGGGAUCAAACAGGAUUAGAUACCCUGGUAGUCCACGCCGUAAACGAUGAGUGCUAAGUGUUAGGGGGUUUCCGCCCCUUAGUGCUGCAGCUAACGCAUUAAGCACUCCGCCUGGGGAGUACGACCGCAAGGUUGAAACUCAAAGGAAUUGACGGGGACCCGCACAAGCGGUGGAGCAUGUGGUUUAAUUCGAAGCAACGCGAAGAACCUUACCAAAUCUUGACAUCCUUUGACAACUCUAGAGAUAGAGCCUUCCCCUUCGGGGGACAAAGUGACAGGUGGUGCAUGGUUGUCGUCAGCUCGUGUCGUGAGAUGUUGGGUUAAGUCCCGCAACGAGCGCAACCCUUAAGCUUAGUUGCCAUCAUUAAGUUGGGUACUCUAAGUUGACUGCCGGUGACAAACCGGAGGAAGGUGGGGAUGACGUCAAAUCAUCAUGCCCCUUAUGAUUUGGGCUACACACGUGCUACAAUGGACAAUACAAAGGGCAGCGAAACCGCGAGGUCAAGCAAAUCCCAUAAAGUUGUUCUCAGUUCGGAUUGUAGUCUGCAACUCGACUACAUGAAGCUGGAAUCGCUAGUAAUCGUAGAUCAGCAUGCUACGGUGAAUACGUUCCCGGGUCU